rnacentral:rRNA from 1 species
GUCGAGCGGAAGGCCCUUCGGGGUACUCGAGCGGCGAACGGGUGAGUAACACGUGAGCAACCUGCCCUAGGCUUUGGGAUAACCCCGGGAAACCGGGGCUAAUACCGAAUAUGACCUCUGACCGCAUGGUUGGUGGUGGAAAGUUUUUCGGCCUGGGAUGGGCUCGCGGCCUAUCAGCUUGUUGGUGGGGUGAUGGCCUACCAAGGCGACGACGGGUAGCCGGCCUGAGAGGGCGACCGGCCACACUGGGACUGAGACACGGCCCAGACUCCUACGGGAGGCAGCAGUGGGGAAUAUUGCACAAUGGGCGGAAGCCUGAUGCAGCGACGCCGCGUGAGGGAUGACGGCCUUCGGGUUGUAAACCUCUUUCAGCAGGGACGAAGCGAAAGUGACGGUACCUGCAGAAGAAGCGCCGGCCAACUACGUGCCAGCAGCCGCGGUAAGACGUAGGGCGCGAGCGUUGUCCGGAUUUAUUGGGCGUAAAGAGCUCGUAGGCGGCUUGUCGCGUCGACUGUGAAAACCCGCAGCUCAACUGCGGGCCUGCAGUCGAUACGGGCAGGCUAGAGUUCGGUAGGGGAGACUGGAAUUCCUGGUGUAGCGGUGAAAUGCGCAGAUAUCAGGAGGAACACCGGUGGCGAAGGCGGGUCUCUGGGCCGAUACUGACGCUGAGGAGCGAAAGCGUGGGGAGCGAACAGGAUUAGAUACCCUGG